rnacentral:sRNA from 21 species
AAUGGGGAGUUGUCGCCGGCUCGUAGCCCCCGCCGACGGCUCCUCCCCGGGGACGGGCCAAAAGCCCGUCCCUUGAAUUGCCUUCGAUGGAAAACGCCCCCCUCCGUCGAAGGUGGCGCGAUCGCACUCCAGUCGGUCGUGCAAU